rnacentral:misc_RNA from 1 species
AACGCACCUUGCACCCUUUGGUAUUCCAAAGGGUACACCCGUUUGAGUGUCAUUGUAAUCUCACUACGUUCGACUUUUUGUCGUUUGUAUGUGGACCUGGAUGUUGCUGUUGGUUAUCGAUGGCUCGUCUGAAAUGCCUGAGUGUACCCCGCUUUGCGGCGUAUUCGGUGUGAUAUAUUGUCACCGGAGUUGAUCCUUUUGGGUCGCGUCUGUAGGAGUGUGGCUCUAUGCUUUCCAACCGUCCCUUUAUGGGGACAAUCUUCUUGACAAUUUGACCUCAAAUCGGGUGGGACUACCCGCUGAACUUAA